AACACUUCUCAGCCUUUUGGCUAAGAUAAGUGCUAUAUCUAUCUGACAUGUCCUUUAUGUGAGGAAAAUAUAUUAAAUGAUUUUUUUUUGGAAUAGGGAGAUGAAAUAGCUUGGUCUGUCCACUCUAUGCCUGAAUUUGGUAUUACAGGACCAUUAGGAAUGGUGCAUUCAUU
rnacentral:snRNA from 1 species